ensembl:snRNA U4 U4 spliceosomal RNA
CGUUUUGCACAGUGGCAGUAUCGCAGCCAAUGAAGUUUAUCAAAGGCACAAUUAUUGCUAAUUGAAAACUUUUCCAGAGCCCAAGGGCCAUAACUUCUAAAUGCAGUGCUUGUGUUUGACUAUAUAUUUCUUUUUUUAAAAG